rnacentral:rRNA from 1 species
CAGUCGCCACGGGAAUACGAGGGGGGCAAGCGUUGUUCGGAAUUAUUGGGCGUAAAGGGUGCGUAGGCGGCUUGACAAGUCUUGUGUGAAAUCUAUGGGCUCAACCCAUAGUCUGCACGGGAAACUGUCGGGCUUGAGAAUGGGAGAGGUGAGUGGAAUUUCCGGUGUAGCGGUGAAAUGCGUAGAUAUCGGAAGGAACACCUGUGGCGAAAGCGGCUUACUGGACCAUCACUGACGCUGAUGCACGAAAGCUAGGGGAGCAAACAGGAUUAGAUACCCCCGUAGUCCCUGUCUCUUAUAC